UGGGGAAUAUUGCACAAUGGGGGAAACCCUGAUGCAGCGACGCCGCGUGAACGAAGAAGGUAUUCGUAUCGUAAAGUUCUGUCCUAUGGGAAGAUAAUGACAGUACCAUAGAAGAAAGCUCCGGCUAAAUACGUGCCAGCAGCCGCGGUAAUACGUAUGGAGCGAGCGUUGUCCGGAAUUAUUGGGCGUAAAGGGUACGCAGGCGGUUUAAUAAGUCGAAUGUUAAAGAUCGGGGCUCAACCCCGUAAAGCAUUGGAAACUGAUAAACUUGAGUAGUGGAGAGGAAAGUGGAAUUCCUAGUGUAGUGGUGAAAUACGUAGAUAUUAGGAGGAAUACCAGUAGCGAAGGCGACUUUCUGGCCACAAACUGACGCUGAGGUACGAAAGCGUGGGGAGCAAACAGG
rnacentral:rRNA from 1 species